AUUGAACGCUGGCGGCAUGCCUUACACAUGCAAGUCGAACGGGAGCAUGGGUGCUUGUGCCUGGUGGCGGGUGGCGGACGGGUAAGUAAUCCAUAGGAACGUGUUCUGUAGUGGGAGAUAGUCCGGCGACAGGCUGAUUACUACGGCCUACGAUCUAAGGAUGAUAGGGGGGGCCCGUCGGGGCUCGCGCUGUUGGGUUGGUCGAAGGCUGCUUAGCUAGUUGGUGGGGUAAAGGCCUAGCGAGGCGACGAUCACUAGCUGGUCUGAGAGGACGACCAGCCACACUGGAACUGAGACACGGCCCAGACUCCUACGGGAGGCAGCAGUGGGGAAUUUUGGACAAGGGGCGAAAGCCUGAUCCAGCAAUGCCGCGUGUAGGAAGAAGGCCUUCGGGUUGUAAAGCGCUUUUGUCCGGAAAGAAAUCCUUCGCUUUAAUACGGGCGGGUAAUGACGGUACCGGAAGAAUAAGCACCGGCUAACUACGUG
rnacentral:rRNA from 1 species